GGAGGGAGCUUAUGAUGAUCAUGCCAGACGUGUGUUCCACCAUAACGCACACAUUGUGGUUAGAGAUAUGAUUUCUUAUGCCAGAAUUUAGGUUGUUGCCUCUUAUCUGGAACGGACUCAAGGGAUACGAUUUGAGAAGAAACGGGAUGCUGGAAAAUAUUACUUGACUGAGGAGCAAUACCGCGAGGUAAACUGUUGCAAGUUGCAAUUAGUAUGAUUCUGUUUGUUACCUUGAAACGAAAUAUUAUUGUGCAGGAAAUGAUUCCGUGGAUGGCCACAUGUGAGGAGGCUUAUCAUGCCUUAUGUCACUAUUGGACCACGUAUGAGUUCAAAAGCAUUUCCCAGAGAAAUAGAGGAAAUCGUGGAACUGAGUCCUAUCAUACCUACGGAGGUGAUGGGCACUUCCGAUUGGCCAAACGCAUUGAAGUUCGCACAGGUGUAGCGCCGAGUGAUAUUCAGGUCUACCUUGAAGGUCAUAGAGGACGUGAUCCUACAAAUCCAGAUCAGUUAUGCUCUCAGGCGGCUACAGAGCGUCUGGCGGCAUAUGGUGACCAAAUGAUUGCUCGCCAUGGAGAGGGUUAUGAUUGGAGAAACGCGCCUAUUGAUCCUGAGGCCGUUUACAGUAGUGGUGGUGGAAAACCUCAUGGCCGGUAUCCAUUAUUCGACAAAGUUAUUGACUCGAGUCAGGUGCCGUCGCGUCAAAGAGCGGGAUCGUCGCGGUCAGCAAGUCGCAGCACAAGUAGUGGCGACGACAGCGCGGAGGUUGUAAGGCUGCGUGAAAGAGUAAGACAAUAGGAGCUACAGCAGCAGUGGUUCCAAGCUCAACUUGCACAACAAAAUGCAAUACUGCAGCAAAUAGCGAGCCAACAGAAUAUACAAGUGCCACCACUGGUACAUCCACCUUUUGCACAGGCCGGUUGGCCAUCAGCUUCACCUCAGCCUUUUCACACCCCACCACCUAACCUUGCGGCACCGGGAGACUCACACGUUCAUCCAACAUCGAAUUGGGCGGAUCAAUUCAUUGGAAGUGGCGGAUCAGUUGAACCAGGUGAUGGAGGCGGC